rnacentral:rRNA from 1 species
AUUGAACGCUGGCGGCAGGCCUAACACAUGCAAGUCGAACGAGUGGCGGACGGGUGAGUAAUGUCUGGGAAACUGCCUGAUGGAGGGGGAUAACUACUGGAAACGGUAGCUAAUACCGCAUACCAUCAGAUGUGCCCAGAUGGGAUUAGCUAGUAGGUGGGGUAAAGGCUCACCUAGGCGACGAUCCCUAGCUGGUCUGAGAGGAUGACCAGCCACACUGAAACUGAGACACGGGCCAGACUCCCAAGGGAGGCAGCAGUGGGUAAUAUUGCACAAUGGGCGCAAGCCUGAUGCAGCCAGGCCGCUUGUAUGAAGAAGGCCGUCGGGUUGUAAAGUACUUUCAGCGGGGAGGCGUUACCAACAGAAUAAGCACCGGCUAACUUCGUGCCAGCAGCCGCGGUAAUAC